CCAAGGAGUCUAACAUGUGCGCGAGUCACUCAGUCUUGAAUAGGCUUGAGAGGCGUAAUGAAAGUAAUGUUACGAUCCCGGUGGUUUCGGCCACUGGGCGCAGUAACGGCCCACCUAUUCCGCUUAAUUGACGGUCUGGUGGAGCUAUAGCGCAUAUGUUGGUACCCGAAAGAUGGUGAACUAUUCUCGGGCAAGACGAAGCCAGGGGAAACCCUGGUGGAGGUCUGUAGCGAUUCUGACGUGCAAAUCGAUCGUCAGACCUGAGUAUAGGGGCGAAAGACUAAUCGAACCAUC
rnacentral:rRNA from 1 species